ACCGCAACGCGGAGCGUGGCGCUGCCGACUGCUAUGGCAAUCGGGGCUGGGGCUCGCCGCUCGCGUUGCCCUCUCGUUCCGUAGCGACAGCUACAACCCGCAGUCGGCAGGCAAGCCGGCACAUGCCUCGUUGCUUCAGUCUCACCCUGCUCGGUCCCUUCCACCUUUCAAUUGAAAAGAAUCCCUUGGCACGUAGAUAAGAUCUUCAUGUUCAAGGUUGGUAUGAUCUUGUAGUUUCACAGGAGUACGUCCAGUUGUACGUUCAUUGCUAACAAGUACUCCAUCAGGUGUAGGGUGUGCACCAUUCGAACUUACACCUUGAGACUUUCUUCUUCUCUUGUACUCACGUCUUGUUUGUAAGUAUUCCUCUCCUUGUUCAGGUGUCAACUGGGAAUAGCAGCUAGUGGUGCAUCGGAUCUUACGUCCACCAUGGCCACUAAUUCUGUUAUAUAUUUGUGCAUCGUCUGGAGUUUGAUUUUCUGAAGAAAUAGAAGAUACAAAUACUCCAGAUGGACUGAUCUUCAUUCGAGUACCAUUUUUCGGGCGGCACAUAUUUGACUGAAGAAGGAUGCCUUGUUUAGAUGCUGACACAUCGAAACUGCCAACUGCAGUCACUGUUUGUCACAUGGCCAAAAAAAAUUAGGCUGUAUUAUUAGUAAAUAUACAAUACAUUAGAACUAAAUUAAUAUAUUUUUACCAACCUCGUUUCCUCUUUGCUGAACAUCUUGGUUGAUGGAUCAUUGAACUGUGUAUAUUGGAGCUUGAAGAUGGAAAAUCUUCUUCUUGUAACAGAGUGACUGCUAUUUCUUUUCCUGGCAGACAAAUACAUAUUAGUAUCAUCA